GGCAGAGCGUCCCAGACUCCUUCCUUGACAGUGGGGCUGUGCUGUCAGACUUGGCUUCCAUCCUCUUUACCGUAACUUCUUUAACAUGAUGUUAACUGAUACUAACUGCUGUGGAUGAAUAGAUGUGGAUUUUGUGUUCUUGAGGCCUUCAUGCUCUGACUUCCUGUACCUCUGUAUCUCCUGGACAGGGGAGAAACAAUGGGAGAAGGUGCACUGAGCUAGAGAUGAGUGGCUGAUACUCAAUACUGACAUUGGAAAAGCAGCCUAACAUAUAUAGACACAUGUUGGAGGAAAAGAAGAGAGAUGAUAGGAAUCAAAAGUAAACAGAAGUCACUGAUCUUUGUCCACUGCGGGGGACCCAACCAACAGACGAAGCCUUAACACCAAAUGAGAUUUCAAUUAAGUGCUACAAAGAUCACAAGCACUGUGAAAUGAGAACAUAAACAUUUUGUCUCUGAAGAUGACUGAUUACUACUGGGGAGACUGUGUGAAUGGGAAAAGGGGCUCCAGAAAUGCAGAAGAAUAGAUCAUGUCAAAUGAGAAGAAUAUGGAAAAUAACUCCAUUUGAAGCAGAGGAAAUCCUGUUUUGCAAAUCAAACCCAAACAAUUAAACAUGACUGAGGGGGGAAAUGAGGAAAUUUGUACCCGUGA